rnacentral:piRNA from 1 species
UAAAUUUUCAGGCGAAUUUUA